rnacentral:snRNA from 1 species
AGCUUUGCGCAGUGGCAGUAUCAUAGCCAAUGAGGUUAAUCCGAGGCGUGAUUAUUGCUAAUUGAAAACUUUUCCCAAUACCCCACCAUGACGACUUGAAAUACAGUCGUCAUUGGCAAUUAUUUUUGCCCAGGGAAGUGG